rnacentral:rRNA from 1 species
AGAGUUUGAUCAUGGCUCAGGACGAACGCUGGCGGCGUGCUUAACACAUGCAAGUCGAGCGGAAAGGCCCUUCGGGGUACUCGAGCGGCGAACGGGUGAGUAACACGUGAGCAAUCUGCCCUUAGCUUCGGGAUAGCUCCGGGAAACCGGAAUUAAUACCGGAUAUGACUAUGGCCGACAUCAGCCAUGGUGGAAAGUUUUUCGGCUAGGGAUGAGCUCGCGGCCUAUCAGCUAGUUGGUGGGGUAACGGCCUACCAAGGCGACGACGGGUAGCCGGCCUGAGAGGGCGACCGGCCACACUGGGACUGAGACACGGCCCAGACUCCUACGGGAGGCAGCAGUGGGGAAUAUUGCGCAAUGGGCGAAAGCCUGACGCAGCGACGCCGCGUGGGGGAUGAAGGCCUUCGGGUUGUAAACCCCUUUCAGCAGGGACGAAGCGAAAGUGACGGUACCUGCAGAAGAAGCGCCGGCUAACUACGUGCCAGCAGCCGCGGUAACACGUAGGGCGCAAGCGUUGUCCGGAAUUAUUGGGCGUAAAGAGCUCGUAGGCGGUCUGCUACGUCCGCUGUGAAAACCUAGGGCUUAACCCUGGGCUUGCAGUAGAUACGGGCAGACUAGAGGUAGGUAGGGGAGAAUGGAAUUCCCGGUGUAGCGGUGAAAUGCGCAGAUAUCGGGAGGAACACCGGUGGCGAAGGCGGUUCUCUGGGCCUUACCUGACGCUGAGGAGCGAAAGCGUGGGGAGCAAACAGGAUUAGAUACCCCCGUAGUCC